rnacentral:misc_RNA from 1 species
AAGGAUCAUUAACACGUAUCCACGUAUCAAAACCCACGUUGAACUGUCUGUCUGCUGGCUUGGUUUUGGAGCGAAAGGCUAUGUGAUGAGGAACGCUUCGGCGCUCUCGUCUUCGUUUCCGCCUCUCACAGUGCACACAAAUUUUUUUUGUGUGUGCUGUGCCAGAGAGACCCCAGCAGUACGUAUCAUCACGUUCUUUUACUUUAACCACUAUGAAAUUUUGUUCUAACUCAUGACAAAAAAAGGGGGAAAAGAGGAGCAAUCUUUCUUUUCUUUUUUUUUUUCGUUUAAUUACGAAAACUCAUGAACAACUCUUAGCAACGGAUAUCUUGGUUUCC